GUGGUUGGCGUGUGGGCUUGGCCUGCCUUUGGUUUGGAGCAGGCACACCAAACGUCCAUUUGUUUCUCGUGACUGGAAUCCACAGGCCAUUGUCAAUGUGGGAGGCACUCAAGUGGUCUAUUCUCAUGCUUGGCGUAUAUCGGACAUGCACGACAGGUAAGUAAUUUGGUCAAUUAAAAACAGUCAGUUCAACAGAGUUCAUUGCUAAAACAAUACCGCUGUCGACAACGUGAUGAAAUGUACUGUACUGUGAGUUAGCAUGACUCCAUCUGAGAUCAAAACACUUUAUUGCAAUGGAUCCAAUUGCUCUUCAUUGGGCGCAUGGCAACCAAAUGCACGAGGAUUCUGUCAUGGGGGGCAAUGCUCAUUGUCCCUUUGGCCCCUUCCAAAAACCUGUCUGUCCUUCAUUUUGGGGUGAGCUGCUGAUUGUUUGCAUCAAAGCAUCACUUGUGCCUGCCAAGGAUUGAUUGAUUGGUUGGUUGGUUGAUUGAUUGAUUGAUUCACUUUUAUUUCUUCACAUCAUUGAUCAUGAUUACAUGUGCGCAGCUCAUGACAUGAGAUUGCACACAACUGUUCCAAAAUUCUGCUAUUAAGCUUCAGAUGUACGGUGGGGCAAACAAAGGAUGUAGUCAGCCACCAAUUGUGCAAGUUCAAAGAUGCCGGUCAUUUUCAUCAGAGGUACUAUGAGAGACAAAAUGAAUCGAACUCAAACUCACAGUGUUGUUAGCACUUUAUCUUCACCAUCAGCGAUCCCCACACACCAGUCACGCACGCGUGGCAAAUCGAUGACCAAUGACGUAAGCCCAAAUCAGGUAAUCGCACAUUUCACCACUAAGGAGUGCUAAAGCACAAGGCAACUCAAUUGACUUAAUUGCAACAGUUGGACCCCGCUCCACUCUUUAUCUCAGGAAGCCAAAGCCGGGCUAGGCUGAGCUGAGCUGAGCAGUGCAGGGGGGUUUCAUGGGGAAGAAGGGCUUUUAAACUGCGGGCUCAGUCAGGUUAAACGAAUAAGCACGGGCCUCGAAUGGACUCGAGGGGCAAAUGCAAUAUUCAGAUGAACACGCACUGAAAGUCUCGUAAAAGUCCGGCUAAAUUUUGCAAAGAAUUUCACUGAGAAAAAGAAAUGAAUUUUUUGAGAGAGAAAUUCAUUGAGAAAAAGAAAUCAAUUACUACUAAGUGAUGAGGUUUUUGAUCAUAUAAUUCACGAGACAUUUUUGUUCAUGAAGAAAUAGUUAUUGUAGAAAGAGCUGAAGAAAUUAUUGUUAAAUUAUAAUGAUUAUUUAUACUUUAUAAUUUCAUUACAAUGUACAUAAUUUUUAAUUAUUAUUCAUUAUAUUUAGAUUAAAGAAAACGAGAAAUAUCUUUAUAAUAGAGGCGCUAAGAACUAUCUGUUGUAUAAAGGGCUGUAAAGUCAAAGUCUGCUUUAUUGUCAUUAGAUUAAAGAAAACGAGAAAUAUCUUUAUAAUAGAGGCGCCAAGAACUAUCUGUUGUAUAAAGCGCUAUAAAGUCAAAGUCAGCUUUAUUGUCAAUCUCUUCACAUGUCAAGACACACAGAGACACCGAAAUUACGUUUCCUCUCUCCCACGGUGACGAGACAUAGUACACGUUAGACAUACAAGUCAACGACACAAUAUAAAAACAAGAAGGCACAAACAAUAAAUAAUAAGAGUGAUGAAUAAAUAAUAAAUAAACAAAUAACACAAUAAAUAAAAGGAGCAAAACGGAGCCAGUGUGCAUACAGCAGACAGUAAGCAUAGCGCAAAAGUACAGGACGCUACGCAGAAAGGGGGAGCGAGUUCAGGAUCCUAACAGCCUGGAGUAUGAAGCUGUUGGUGAGUCUGGUGGUGCAGGAGCGCAGGCUCCUAUACCUCUUCCCAGAGGGCAGAAGAUCAAACAAAGAGUGAGCGGGAUGACUCACAUCACUCACAAUCGUGGUCGCCUUGCAGGUGAGAUGGGAGAUGUAAAUGUCUUUCAAGGAGAGGAGUGAAGCACCAAUAAUCUUACCAGCUGUGUUCACUAUGCGCUGCAGGGUCUUCAUGUUGUAGUCAGUGCAGCUACCACCCCAAACAGCAAUACAGCUGGAGAGGACGCUCUCAAUGGUGCCACGGAACCUGGCGCUGCUCACUCUCUCCACCACAACACCGUCGAUGGUCAGCGGCAGAUGUCGGGUGUGACCCUUCCGGAAGUCAACAACAAUCUCUUAGGUCUUGUCGACAUUCAGCAGGAGGUUGUUGUCCCUGCACCACGUGGUCAGAAGGUUGCAGUGCAGUCAUGCGUCAGCAGGGUGAAGAGCAGCGGACGAAGCACGCAGCCUUGGGGGGCCCCUGUGCUUGCGUGAUGCUGGCGGAGAUUUUGUCGCCAACACGUACCACCUGUGGCCUCUGACAGAGGAAGUCCAGUAGCCAGUUGCAGAGGUGGGUGAGGGCCGAGUGGAGGGCAGAGCAGAUGGCAUCCUCAGAGGACCGUUUGGCUCGGUACGCAAACUGGAAGGGGUCUAUGGUGGGGGGGAGAACGGAUCGGAUGUGCUCCAUGACAAGCCGCUCAAAGCACUUCAUGAUGAUGGACGUAAGUGCCACGAGGCGGUAGUCAUUGAAGCAGGACGGAGCAGGUUUCUUCGGCACAGGUACGAUGGUGGCAGCUUUGAAACACGACGGGACGAUGGCCUGCUGCAGGGAAGUGUUAAAGAUGUCCGUGAAGAUACCCGUCAGCUCCCCAGCGCAGUCCUUCAGCGCUCGACCCGGGAUGCUGUCUGGGCCCGCCGCCUUACGGAUGUUGAUAGCGGCAUCGGUGUGCCCUGAUCUGUCCACCUGUUCCCCAAAUUAUGCCCUCAGUCAAACAAUGUCCUCCCGAGUGGCUCGGGCACGGCACCAGCUGCUACAAGAAGAUGGCAGUCCCCAGCAGUUGGCUGGGCGCCUGGCACCACUGCGUCUGGGUGGGCGGCAACCUGGUCUCGUCAAAGUCAAAGUCAACUUUAUUGUCAGUGACGUGGAGAGAUUGACAAUAAAGCUGACUUUGACUUUGACUCCUCGGCCGAGGAAGACUUUGUGAAGGCGACCAUGCCCAAGUACAACCGCUUCUGGCUGGGACUCUCCAACCAGAAAUGCGACGAGGUCUGGUGUCGCUUUGAAGGCGGGAGCCAGAAGCUGACCUGGUCCGAUGGUCAGACAACACACCGCAACUGAGCCCGAAAUCAACUCGAAAGAAAUGCGACGACUCCUGGUGUCGCUUUGAAGGCGGGAGCCAGAAGCUGGCCUGGUCUGAUGGCGAGACAAUAAAGCACACCAACUGGGCCCCAAAUCAACUGGAAAGCGCCGACGUUGCGUCCUGCGCCUACGUCAACCAAGGGGGAAGCGGACAGCCUGGGGAGUGGCGCUCUGGUUCCUGUCAUUCCUCGUUGGCCUACAUGUGCAUUUGCUGAUAUUUGCCCCCCUUCCUUGCAGCCAACCACGGAGGGACUCAACGGCUGCCAUCAUCACUCAGCCUAGUCAGUUGGACUCACAAAUGCGGCUGGUGGCUGGACAACCCCAUCGACGACUUCUGCUACCUGAUGAUCAGCCAGCCCACCAAGACCUGGCAGAAGGGGCAAGACGACUGCAAACGCCUCGAAGGGGACCUGCUCAGCAUCACCGACACCGAUGAGCAGCCCUUCAUAAAGGAGGCAUCGAGGGUGACGGCGGCAAGUGGUCUGACGGAUCCCCCUUGUCUUACCUCCACUCGAGUGCAGGUGACGCCAAAGGGGGGGAAUGUCUUUCCUUGCUCACUGGCAGCAGUGACUGGAAGUGUGACAAGUGCAACAACAUGAAAGGCUACGUCUGCAAGAAAAAAGGAAAAGGAAAGACAGCAAAACCCCAGCUGCUACAUGACGGCUACAAGGAGGAAUUUUUCUGCCAAGACGAUUUGAGAUUCCUUGAAUGUUCUGAUGAAAGCGUCAUCCGCGUACAGUCGGCUUUCCUCGGCCGGAGGCGUAGCGACGUCUGUCCAAGUGAUGGCGCCGGAUCACAGGAUCGCUGCAGGAUGGAAGGGUCUCUCUCUCAGUUUAGAGCAUAGUGUGACAAACAUGAGCUUUGCCCCAUUCACCCUACGGGUACGGACCCCUGCCCUGGUGUCUCCAAAUACCUCCACAUCGUCUGCAGCUGUGAGGAGAAAGUGUGUCUUGACAGUCUGGGCAUCGCUGACAGGAAAAUCCCAGACUCCUCCUUUUCAGACUCUUCCUCCGCGAUCAAUGGCGAACCUCACAAAGCGCGCGUCUGGGGGGCAGCGGUUGCUGGAUACCGUCCAAAAUGU